UUUUAUUUGAGAGUUUGAUCCUGGCUCAGGAUGAACGCUGGCGGCGUGCCUAACACAUGCAAGUUGAGCGAUUUACUUCGGUAAAGAGCGGCGGACGGGUGAGUAACGCGUGGGUAACCUACCCUGUACACACGGAUAACAUACCGAAAGGUAUGCUAAUACGGGAUAAUAUAUUUGAGAGGCAUCUCUUAAAUAUCAAAGGUGAGCCAGUACAGGAUGGACCCGCGUCUGAUUAGCUAGUUGGUAAGGUAACGGCUUACCAAGGCGACGAUCAGUAGCCGACCUGAGAGGGGGAUCGGCCACAUUGGAACUGAGACACGGUCCAAACUCCUACGG
rnacentral:rRNA from 1 species